UACGUAGGAUCCGAGCGUUAUCCGGAUUUAUUGGGUUUAAAGGGUGCGCAGGCGGGAUGUUAAGUCGGCGGUGAAAUUUUGCAGCUCAACUGUAAAAGUGCCUUCGAAACUGGUUUCCUUGAGUGUAGAUGAAGUAGGCGGAAUUUGUGGUGUAGCGGUGAAAUGCAUAGAUAUCACGAGGAACUCCGAUUGCGCAGGCAGCUUACUAAACUACUACUGACGCUCAGGCACGAAGGCGUGGGGAUCAAACAGGAUUAGAUACCCCGGUAGU
rnacentral:rRNA from 1 species